UCCGUAGGUGGAUAAUUAAGUCAGAGGUGAAAUCCUGCAGCUUAACUGUAGAACUGUUAUUGAUACUGGUUUUCUUGAAUAUAGUUGAGGUAGGCGGAAUGUGUAAUGUAGCGGUGAAAUGCUUAGAUAUUACACAGAACACCGAUUGCGAAGGCAGCUUACUAAGCUAUGAUUGACGCUGAGGUACGAAAGCGUGGGGAGCGAACAGGAUUAGAUACCCUGGUAGUCC
rnacentral:rRNA from 1 species